rnacentral:tRNA from 1 species
GGAGAGAUGUCCGAGUUGGUCGAAGGAGCACGACUGGAAAUCGUGUAGACGCGCCAAAACGCGUCUCGAGGGUUCGAAUCCCUCUCUCUCCGCCA